GCAUCGCUGGGCCCGGCCGGGUCGCUGCGGCUGGGCUGGAGGUGAGGCGAAAGAAGGGCAUCCUCUGAUGGGAGUGGACCGGAGUCCGCUAAAGCGAAGCAUUCCAGGGUUCGUUGCGGGAAAUACAGUCUGGUUUUGCCCCCCGUAUGAAUUGAGGGAAGGUCAAGGAUGCAUUCCAGGAAAGUUCUAUAAAAAUAUACCAUCAACUCCAACCUGAUAUUUGACCUAGCCAUGGAAAACCUCAUUGGCUCCUCACUGGAUCAGACCAUAAAAAUGAUCCAGGAAUGAAAAUCUAAGAUAAAUUCCCACCACUUCAAGAUGUUCUUAUACAAGUCAACAGUCUAGCAGAUCAGCCAGUCUCUUUCAUCAUCAAGCAGACAUACUCAAGAAAGAGGAAUAGUGAAGUGAAAUACACAGAAGCAUGUUCAAGUUCAUCUGUUGAAUCUGGAAUUGUGAAUAGUGACAAUAUUGAGAAAAAUACUGACUCCAAUCUGCAAACUUCAACUUCAUUUGAGCCACAUUUCAAAAAGAAAAAAAAGAAAAAUUUGAAACAUUAAGGGAAAACAGUUGGGUAAAAGAUCCAUUUGCUUUUCGAAACCCUGAAUCAAUAAUUGAGCUAAACUUGGUGCCUGAAGAAGAGAAUGAAUUAUUGCAGCUUAGUUCUUCAUAUACAUUGAAGAAUGAUUAUGAAACCUUAAGUUUAUCAGCAUUUUGGAUGAAGGUAAAGGAAGACUUUCCAUUGUUAAGUAGAAAGAGUGUCCUGCUAUUGCUACCAUUCACAACAACUAGUUUGUGUGAACUAGGGUUUUCCAUCUUAACGCAGUUAAAAACAAAGGAAAGAAAUGGGCUGAAUUGUGCAGCAGCUAUGCGGGUAGCAUUAUCUUCCUGUGUUCCAGACUGGAAUGAACUUAUGAACAGGCAAGCACACCCAUCAUAGUAAAUAAAAAUCUUACCUAGC
rnacentral:sRNA from 1 species